UAUAUUGUCAGAGUUUGAUGGUUCAUAUGGAAUGAACUCCGGCAUUGUACAUGUGGCAUGUGUGUAACCCACAUUAAACCGUUCAAAUCGCAAGACCUGAUAUGGAUGAGUCAACUCACAAAUCAGAUUUAAGUGAUCUUAAGCGUCGAUACUUGCCAUCACACUAGUACUAUGUGGUAGAGCCUCCCCUCUUCAGGAGGUGGAAGGAAGAUUUAUUUAUUUAUUUAUUUUUGUUGUGAAGACCCAGAUGGACAGCAAAUGGUUAAAAGUACAUAAAUCAGAUGUUCCAGCUAUUCAAUUAGCACCCUUCGGGGGACAGCGGUAAAAAGAAGAAGAAGAAGAAGUUAAAUGCCAGCUAGAACUUGGGACGCUUGCACGUGGGGAGCUGGAAGAUGGACGCCGGCAUAUGGAGCACGUGUACGCUGGCACAAAUGGAGUGCUUGAAGAUUGAUCGGCGCCCAUUUGCACAGUGGCACAUGUGGUGGAAAAUUGGCCACGUGUGGCACAUUGAUGGUGGAAAAUCGGCAACAUGUGGCACAUGGGGCACGGAAUGUCCUGUUCCAACCAAAUAUCGAAUUUUAAGAAAUACUAAUUUAUUUUUAUUUUUAAUUAUUAUUUAAGGUUGGCAUAAGCAACUAUCCGUUUGACAAGAUUAGUAGCCUGGUUGCCUUUGUACAACCUUUUCGGAGCCUAACUUUUCUGCCAACCAAGCGGCUAUACCACAUACGUAAUGUACCCACGUGAACAAACGACGUGUGUGAGAUCCCGCUCGUUCAUUAGGCAGCGGAGGUAUGAAAAGUUGAUAAGAGGCUACGUUGAUUUUAGGUGGGAGGUGUAUGUCCCACCAAACAAAGUGUCUUGGCUGAGUUCGGGCCAAGUUAGAUAUAUGACGGAUCCCUUGUGACGAACAACUUGAAUGAAUCUUACAUGAUUUGUUGCGUUGGGCCACAUCUUCGUUGAUGAAUGAUGGAUAUUUCGUUGGCUGGGUCUUGGACGAGGUU